AUGUACAGUAGGUGGCAGUAUGCUCCUUAAAGUUGCUUAGACUCCCGCGAUAAUGGAAAAGAAGAACUCAAUACUUACCUGAGACAUGUUUACCUUAUCAACCAACGCUGCGGCUAAGACGACAGGCAAGAAAAUUCUUCAACGAGUCCUACAUCGGGUCUGUAAGGAUAUUUGCGGGAAACAAUUGAGAAGUCAACGUAAAAAGUCCAUUUUUCGCAGCCAGAGGAGGAUCAGUCUCAUGGGAUGCGAGUGUGAAAGCUGUGUCGGACGCUUUUUUGCACGUACAAAACGGAAUUGACAUGUGGACCAACACGCGAUGCCUCACAUGGUGGGAAACCUGUGAACCUGCUGAUGUCCUAGCUGUGUGGCCUUGGACACGAUCGCUUUCUGCUCUUCACAUGAAGCAAUACUGCAACUCUCAUCAAUCAAGGAAAGAAAACUCACAAUCAGUAUUUGAAAAGGUUUUGAUCAAAGACCUAUGCAGGAAUUUAAAAUGACUCCAGCACAUUAGGAUAACAGCACUGUACAUCAAAGUCCAGGUUUUUCUCCUUUGUGUAAGGGACACAAUGAAACAAUGGAUAGACCAGUAAAUAGAAUGAAUGGUUAUUGUUCAUAAAUAUACUGGUCAGAUAUGUGUUAUGGAUGCUUGCCCUACUGAAUCAGACAUUUACAGAAUUGAGGGUAGUCAGAUCCAGGAAACUGCAAAAAUACAACUAUCUGAAUAUUACUUUAGAAAACUUUUGUCCUGGUUGUUUGUUUUUUCUUUCUAAAAUCAUUUGUAAAGUAUUUAAAAGUAAAAACUCAGGUUGUGUAUA